rnacentral:tRNA from 1 species
AAAGGGAGACCUAAUUCAGGUAUGGGACGAAAAAAAAGUAGUCGCUACCAAGAAUCAAUCCCAAAAGGUCGGAGCGAGGCGAAAUUGGCUUUCAAACUAGGUUCUGGGUUCAAACAAGACCUGAAUCAGGAACAAGGGCUAUUAGCUCAGGUGGUUAGAGCGCACCCCUGAUAAGGGUGAGGUCCCUGGUUCGAGUCCAGGAUGGCCCACCUGCACAGGUGGCAAAAACAAAGAAGCGAGGAAUCAGCACCUUAUCUUAUAUACAUAUAUAAGAGAGAAUGCUGGCUCUGAGUACAGAGUCCAGAGGAACCUUGAAAACUGCAUAGAGCUAGGUGAAAAAGCCAAAAAAGAAGACCGCAAG